rnacentral:misc_RNA from 1 species
AUGUAAAUGCUUGCUAACCAGCGCGGUUACAUGUUGGUUCCUACUUUCUUAACAUUUCUUAUGUAUUCGUUUUGAAUAUCAUCCUAAGUGGCCUUUGUUCUUUGUUAUAUUUUGAAAUAUUGUGUUAUGAAGAGCAAUAUAUCGAGAAUAAAGAAAAAUAAGGCAAUAAGAAACAAUAUGGUUCUCCUACGCAAGUCAUAUUCCUAUAGGAAAAUAGCCAUGUGCUCUAAUUUUUGUGAUGACUUAUAAAUAAUCAAAAUGGCGGAUUGGAGAUCAACCAACAGACCGCGUGCCUAUGAAGAGGUAACCGAGACUACUUGAAUAACCAGGCAAACUUCCAAAAUAGGAAACGUUAGAAUGAUUCAAAAAAAAAAAAAAAAAAAAAAAAAUCGGAAAAGGACAAAAUCCAAACAAGCCGAUUUACCGAUGUCCUUGUACUAAUUGAAGGUACGAUAAGUCGACAAGUAAAUGGAAUGACGAAGGAAUGGGUACAGGACAGGAGUUAAAGACGCAAGUUACCUGAAAAAAGGUCCACCUGCUCAUGACCACCCUUGCUGUAUGAGAUGGUUCAACAACAUCUACAAUGUCAUUGACACCACGAUUAAUAUAUUAAAGUACAUCUUUGUUUUUUUUUACGUUUAUAUUUUUUGGUUCUUUCUUUCUGAUCCAUGGUUGUUUGUUUACGUACUCACUUGCACAACCACAUAUACCUAGUUAGUUGAUUGCUUUUACAAUAGAUUGUCUGAUAGAGAUUGCCAAUAGUAAUAACGAGGACUUUGUGUACUUAAACUUAACUUAUGUAUAUUUUUGGUUUUUCUUUUUUCUUUAGUCUUAGCUGAUUACUUUACCAGAGAAUGUGCGUUAUACGCUCGGAAAAUUGUAUUUUUUUUCUUUGUUAGCGCAUAAAUUUUUUAGAUUUUUGCUGUAAAUAUUUAACUACCCAUUUGUAAAAUACGUAAAUUUUUUUAUGUAUUAUUCGCUACCUAAUCGUUGUCUAGAAACACAUCUAUAUGGUAGGCCAGGCCGCCCCAGGCCGCCCCAAGCCGCCUUUGUACGUUUUUAUGUUUAAGCUAAUUCUCAAAAGUUGUGUACAAUAUCACUCUAUGAGCGCUCUUGAUGUAUUGCAUUAUCAAUAGUUAGCCCUAGCUAUAGUUUUAGAUAGUUUUGUUAUUUUAAAUAUAAUAUCGUGAAUAUUUGUUAGAAGUGAACUUGUGGUGACUAAGCACGUACUAAGUGUGUUUUUGUAUAAAUGAUGUUUACAAAUGUCAAUUAUUAUUUGUAAUUGUAAUGAAAUAAAUGAUAUGAAAAAAGUUUUGUAUUUUUC